CGAGAAUUGUACUGAACUGAAACUGAAAUAAUAAAGAAGCAAAUUAGAAUCGUACCAAAAUUUUGAUUUGGUUUGGGUUUCUAGGUAAACCUUGAAUCGAACACCCCUAAUGGGCACAUAAAAUAAAUCCUUAACCAAGAAAUAAUAUAAAUCAAUUUAGGAUUUAUAUUAUUUUAUCCUAAAUUAAUUAAUUACAAAAUCAAAUCGUAAUUAAUAAUUUUAAAAUAUACAUUUUAAUAUUCAUUGUGUUUGUUUUAUAUAUUUUUAACAGAAAAAAAUAAAAUUUUGGAAUGG
rnacentral:misc_RNA from 1 species